UCCCUCACACAUCAAAAUCAUCUUUGGUACUCUCACCCAUCUUAUUUCUCAAAAAAUAGACUAACUUUUUUUUCUUUUAAAAAAAGAAUCUGUACUUUUCACAUAAAUCAAAAUCAUAUCCCUUUCAAACCAAUCUAAUCCCCCACCCAUCAGAAUCAUUGUUUGAUAGGAUGACACACCAAGUAGAGUAAGAAAAAGUUUAGAAUAUGCCAAUUAUAUUACUGGCGCGGCAUCUUCAAUCAAUCAAAUCUUUUUUUUUUGAAUUCAGUUAUUCCAUCAUAGUUAUUAAAAAAAUAAUUUUAUUGUAUUUUGCUCUCAAAAUAAAAGAUAUGGAUUGACUGAUGAUAAAUAAUGUGGUAUAAGUGUUACAAUAUAGACUUUCUCGUCAAUGAAAUAGGA
rnacentral:lncRNA from 1 species